UACGUAGGGCGCAAGCGUUGUCCGGAAUUAUUGGGCGUAAAGAGCUCGUAGGCGGCCAGUUGCGUCUGCUGUGAAAUCCCGGGGCUCAACCCCGGGCGUGCAGUGGAUACGGGCUGGCUAGAGUGUGGUAGGGGAGACUGGAAUUCCUGGUGUAGCGGUGAAAUGCGCAGAUAUCAGGAGGAACACCGAUGGCGAAGGCAGGUCUCUGGGCCACUACUGACGCUGAGAAGCGAAAGCAUGGGGAGCGUACAGG
rnacentral:rRNA from 1 species